UGAAGCUGGAUUCGCUAGUAAUCGCGCAUCAGCCACGGCGCGGUGAAUACGUUCCCGGGCCUUGUACACACCGCCCGUCAAGCCAUGGGAGCCGGGGGUGCCUGAAGGCCGUGACCGCGAGGAGCGGCCUAGGGUAAAACUGGUGACUGGGGCUAAGUCGUAACAAGGUACC
rnacentral:rRNA from 1 species